rnacentral:rRNA from 1 species
UACGUAGGGCGCAAGCGUUGUCCGGAAUUAUUGGGCGUAAAGAGCUCGUAGGUGGCGGGUCGCGUCAACCGUGAAAACCCGAGGCUUAACUUCGGGCUUGCGGUUGAUACGGGCGGACUGGAGUUCGGUAGGGGAGACUGGAAUUCCUGGUGUAGCGGUGAAAUGCGCAGAUAUCAGGAGGAACACCGGUGGCGAAGGCGGGUCUCUGGGCCGUAACUGACGCUGAGGAGCGAAAGCGUGGGGAGCGAACAGG